rnacentral:tRNA from 1 species
CAGGCUUAAGGGCACACCAGCCCACUAUCUGAUUUGCACUCAGACAACUAAUUUUUAAACCU